CAGGAAUCCUGUUCAGGCCUUUCCGCCCGUCCAGCUUCUUCUGACUCCGUUCUCCGUCGUAGAUCGCGUCCCAGGGACUCCUAAACCGUAAGUCAGACCUUCCUGUCACGCCAGGACUGGUUCCCACGGCGUACGGUACAGCACGGGUCCUCGCUUUACGGCUUUUCCCUGGUUAUGAAACGAAUGUUUCAAGCCAUUCGCGGGCUUUUCAUUCGUACGGUCAUUCGGCUGAACAUAUUUAAAGCGUUCAAUAGUCAUUUCGCAUAUCCUAUUUCAUGUUAUUGAAACGAAUUUUCAUUCGGUUGUUUUGCCGUUCGGCAAAUUUUACAUACGCUCAUACACGCCUUUGGUUCGCAUAAAUCAUACGGUUAAACUAUUCUAACUUCUGUGUUCCCCUCACAUUUGCUUUCAGCUUUUCUGUGUGUUCACGUAUAAUCCUUUCAUGAAUUAUAUUCACCAUUUCAUGUGUAUAUAACGUUCAGUUAAAGAUUUGCUUGCUUAAAUAGAUUAUUUUUGAUUACUUUUAAAUAUUGUCAGUAUUGUAUUAUGUCCACAAAUCAAGUCCACUUCUCUGUGUAUACCAUGUGACUCCCACGCUUUCAGGGGUCUGCAUUACUUAUCCAUUUAUACAAAUGGACUCAGUCUAUGUUACAAGCCUCACUUCUGGGUUAUUAAUACGCACAUCAACUAAUAACAUGGAAGCCGGGGAAGGAUCUAGCCAGUCCAACCCAGGGGACAUACAUGCCAUGUUAUCCUCACUCAUGGCAUCCAUGGGCAAGGUCAACUCCAGGCUGGAGAAACUUGAGUCGGUCACCACGGCCCUCACUCUAGCAGGGCCACCCGCGGCUGCGGUACAAACACCAGCCUUGCCAUUAGUCGCUCCAGCCAGCCCCCUGGAUGACCAGGAAGUUAGCCCGGCCCACAUGAUACCUGAGCAU